rnacentral:rRNA from 1 species
UUGCUCCCUGAUGUUAGCGGCGGACGGGUGAGUAACACGUGGGUAACCUGCCUGUAAGACUGGGAUAACUCCGGGAAACCGGGGCUAAUACCGGAUGGUUGUCUGAACCGCAUGGUUCAGACAUAAAAGGUGGCUUCGGCUACCACUUACAGAUGGACCCGCGGCGCAUUAGCUAGUUGGUGAGGUAACGGCUCACCAAGGCGACGAUGCGUAGCCGACCUGAGAGGGUGAUCGGCCACACUGGGACUGAGACACGGCCCAGACUCCUACGGGAGGCAGCAGUAGGGAAUCUUCCGCAAUGGACGAAAGUCUGACGGAGCAACGCCGCGUGAGUGAUGAAGGUUUUCGGAUCGUAAAGCUCUGUUGUUAGGGAAGAACAAGUGCCGUUCAAAUAGGGCGGCACCUUGACGGUACCUAACCAGAAAGCCACGGCUAACUACGUGCCAGCAGCCGCGGUAAUACGUAGGUGGCAAGCGUUGUCCGGAAUUAUUGGGCGUAAAGGGCUCGCAGGCGGUUUCUUAAGUCUGAUGUGAAAGCCCCCGGCUCAACCGGGGAGGGUCAUUGGAAACUGGGGAACUUGAGUGCAGAAGAGGAGAGUGGAAUUCCACGUGUAGCGGUG